rnacentral:rRNA from 1 species
GACGAACGCUGGCGGCGUGCUUAACACAUGCCAGUCGAACGGAAAGGCCCUGCUUUUGUGGGGUGCUCGAGUGGCGAACGGGUGAGUAACACGUGAGUAACCUGCCCUUGACUUUGGGAUAACUUCAGGAAACUGGGGCUAAUACCGGAUAGGAGCUCCUGCUGCAUGGUGGGGGUUGGAAAGUUUCGGCGGUUGGGGAUGGACUCGCGGCUUAUCAGCUUGUUGGUGGGGUAGUGGCUUACCAAGGCUUUGACGGGUAGCCGGCCUGAGAGGGUGACCGGCCACAUUGGGACUGAGAUACGGCCCAGACUCCUACGGGAGGCAGCUGUGGGGAAUAUUGCACAAUGGGCGGAAGCCUGAUGCAGCAACGCCGCGUGCGGGAUGACGGCCUUCGGGUUGUAAACCGCUUUCGCCUGUGACGAAGCGUGAGUGACGGUAAUGGGUAAAGAAGCACCGGCUAACUACGUG